rnacentral:rRNA from 1 species
UACGGGGGGGCAAGCGUUGUUCGGAAUUACUGGGCGUAAAGGGCUCGUAGGCGGCCAACUAAGUCAGACGUGAAAUCCCUCGGCUUAACCGGGGAACUGCGUCUGAUACUGGAUGGCUUGAGGUUGGGAGAGGGAUGCGGAAUUCCAGGUGUAGCGGUGAAAUGCGUAGAUAUCUGGAGGAACACCGGUGGCGAAGGCGGCAUCCUGGACCAAUUCUGAACGCUGAGGAGCGAAAGCCAGGGGAGCAAACGGG